GACGAACGCUGGCGGCGUGCUUAACACAUGCAAGUCGAACGGAAAGGCCCUGCUUGCUGGGUACUCGAGUGGCGAACGGGUGAGUAACACCUGGGUGAUCUGCCCUGCGCUUCGGGAUACGCCUGGGAAACUGGGUCUAAUACCGGAUCGUAGCCAUUUUGAGUGUGAUGGUUGGACGGUUUUGUCGGUGUCGGAUGAGCUCGCGGCCUAUUAGCUUGUUGGUGGGGUAAUGGCCUACCAAGGCGGCGACGGGUAGCUGGCCUGAGAGGGUGGACGGCCACAUGGGUACUGAGAUACGGACCAGACUGCAACGGUAGGCAGCAGUGGAGAAUAUUGCACAAUGGGCGCAAGUCUGAUGCAGCGGCGCUGCGUUGGUGAAGACGGCCUUCGGGUUGUAAACGCCUUUCGCUAGGGACGAAGCUUUUGUGACGGUACCUAGAGAAGAAGCACCGGCUAACUACGUG
rnacentral:rRNA from 1 species